UUAACGGGUCCGAUAAAUAAUACGAUACGCGCAAUAACGAUUCCCAAAACGAUCCAUCACCGCUAUACCGAUCGUUAAAAAAAAUAAAAGGUUUUCAAAAAUAUAUAUUGUACGUUUUUCUUUUUUUCCUACGCUUUUCGGAUACGCCCGUCGCUGCCGGUAUCGCGAGAUUAAACAAUGUAUCUAAUUUCGUUUUUUUUUUUUUUUUCUUCUUAGUCCAAACAUAUUUACUCGAAAUUCGGAUUUAUAGCAUAUAAAUCUCGGACAAUUAUUUUGUUGUAGGUUGAACAAAAAAAAAAAAACACUUCGGUAUCACUUUAACAUUUGAAGAAAAUAAAACAAUUUAAAACCGUAAAUAUCCCAAUAAAAACGUUAUAAAAAAAAAAAAACAAAACACAUAAGCGCUACGAUAAUUAUCUAAACGAAGAUAAAUGAUACGGAACAAUUAAAUUAAAUAAAGAUAAAACAAUAUUUACCUAUCGUAAAAUGUAAACGUUAAAAAUAGUAUAGUAAAAGUUUCGCGUUUCGAUUUUAAAAAUUCUGUGUAACGUGAUAAUUAGAGAUAGAUGUUUAUGCACUAGAAAUCCACAAAAAGAGUCAAAAUAGAUAAUUUAAAAAGUAUUUAAAAGAGCAAAAAUUAUAGAGGCGAUAAAAAUCCCUCUCCUCUAAUGAUUCUAACGUGUUAAAAAUAAUUUUUCAACUACAAAAAUGGUUAUUGAAAAGUGAACUGAAACCCCUCCACCACUUUUGGUUUUUGAAUUUUUUCAAGCGUUUUGAUUCGGAUUUUAACUGCACGCGCAUCCUAACCCUAGGCCAAUAAUAACAUCAAUUCGCUAGACCAUAUCCGUAUAUAAUCGAAACACAAUGUAUAAAUCGAACGAAUUAAAAAGCGUAUAGGACAAAUGACAGAAAAAAAUACGUAUAAUUAUGCUCAAUGAACGGACGAACCGUGUGGACCAAACACUGUUCCCCUCGUCCCGGUAUCGUACAUAAUAUUAUGUGGCACAAAUAUCGUUUUACGUGUGCGGAGUGCCGCGGGGAUCGGUCGGUAACACAAUAAAGUUCAAGUUUAGGUGCGUGUACAGUACGGUCGGUCGGGCUGGACGGCUUACGCGAAAAGCCACAGAGGAUAACGCCGCAGGACCGCAAUAAUAAUAAUAAUAACAAUAAUAAUACUUACCUAAACGCGAAAAACGUAACCGUAUACGGGAAUUCGAUUAAACUUAUACGUCCGUACGUAGUAUACGUACAUUUAUACAGGAAUAUAUGGGCAAAGAGGGUGGAAUCGUUUGUGAACUAUAAAUUUUGAAUUGAGGGGGGGGAGGGGUGGGAAACCGUCCGAUAUAUAAACGUGUACGUUUAUCCGUUACGGGGGAUAGUGAGAGACAUCCCCGGACGUGGGGGCCCGCGGUAAAUAUAGCCCGGGAAAUGUACACCGAGGCGGUACUUACAUUAUACAGGGUCGGUCCAGCCGUAUUUUCCCGGCGUCUCUGUCGGGUAUUCCGUUCCGUGCGAACGGAUCCGUACGUUCGCACGUGAAAUUAAUAUUUUCUUUUUUGUUUCCGCUGCUCAAGCCCCGUAUUCAAGACCGGCGGUUCCCGAUUACUUUUAUUCCACGUCCUCUGUCGGUUUUUAUAAAAAUCUCUCGACCCUCUUCAGGAAAAAAAGUAAAAACCCGAUCAUCAACACGGCGUCGACGAACAAACGAAUCUCAUCGAAAAUGUCCCCCCGUCGCCUAUACCGAUAAAUGCGGCCCGUGUAUUCGUCGAUACCCAAUCACCGGUUGUUAUUACAUUUUUAGAGAAACGGUACAAUAUUACCUUUCGUUACAGCGCCGCGAUUAUUUUGCACGUGCCGUGAUUACCCAUUGAAUGUCGUUAUUUUUUUGUUUCCCGUGCCCUCCAUCCGUAAAUUCAAACGGCCGUUACAAACUUGGGAACUGUUGGUCGGACGCGUUCCAGGUCCAAAUGUCUUGAGCAUGUCCGUUACGGAGUGUUCGUUCUGAAAUUUCGUAAAACUGAAUGUCAACAAAGAUAUUAGCGCCGGAAAACCGUGUACACAUAUACCGUUAAAGCCCAUCGCACUCGGGAAAGAACGGCUUUCGGAGAAGAAACCACCCCCCACUCCCAAAAAAAAAACCUCAUUUUUUUUUUCCGUUAAUUAUUUCCAUUCGCGUUUUUAUGAUAACGAUUAAUAUUGCUUACGGCGGAGUGUAUUUUUUUAAAAACAAUUUUUUUUUUUUUUGUUUCCCCGGAAAUUCGGGAGACCCUUUGACACCGUAACGACGAUACCGCCGGCGCCCGGUGCGCAUCAUCAUUCGUUUUAACUUUUAACCGUAUAAUUAUACUGCACGAUAAAAUAUAAUUUAUGCUAUAUAUAUAUAUACUUUAUAAUUAUUUAUUUAUUCUUAUAUUUUUAAUUUUAUUUAUUUAUUUAUUUUUUUUUUUUUUUUUUUUUUUUUUUUUUUUUUUUUUUUUUUUUUAAUUGUACGUAAUAUUUAUUUACAAAUCGAAACGUAACAAAAAGAGGACUGUUUCCGAAACGAAAAACAAAAGGAAAAUUUCUCUUUUUGUUUCGUUUCGGAUCACAUUACACUUAAGGUUAAACAAUUUAUAUUUAUUUACGCGAACGCAUGUACAUAGUAUAGUAUACAGGUAGCUUAGAUUAGCUGUAGAUUAGUAUUGUAGACGUACGUAGCGCAGUGAUAGCAAUAAGUUGUAGAAAUAUUAUUGCUCUGCUGUUUGGUAAUACAGUGACGCAGUGGGUAUUUCGGUACCGUAACCGGCAAAAAAAAAAACAAAAAAGCAAACGUCGGGAGAGGAGACGCUAAUCAUUUUUCUUUAACCGUACCUACUAUUUUUCGAAAACGUUACAAUACGCCGAGACGAUCCGAACGAUCAGUUUAAACCAGCGUACAUUUUUCGGGCAUGCAUUUGCUCGCAGCGCUCCUCCCCCCGAUUACGGCACCGAUAGUGUUUUAAUUGUGAAUAUUAGUCUAUACCGGUGCGGUUGUACAACAACAAAUUAUUAUUCUCGGUUAGAGAUCCGCGAUGGAUUUUCCGCACCGAGAAAAUGUCGAAAAGAGUCGGAUUGACAGCCGGCACGCUAGACAAUGACUGAUAAGAAGGCUGUAGCUCGGGGUUACGAAAAAAAAAAAAAAAAAAUUACCCGAAAAUAGAAAAAACAGCGAAAACGUGGAAUUUCGGUAUGGAGAAAAAGAAAAAACAUCCGAAAUCUAUUCGCAAAACAAUCGAGCAUACGAAAUUAACAAUUUCACCGCGUUUGUUUAACCUGAAAAUAAUAUUAUCUUGUUGCAACGCACGUGCAUUUUUCGUUUCGCCUAUUAAUCCGGCUCUUGUUUGAUUUAAAUUUAUACGAGAAAAAAAAAAAAAAAUUUCAAACACGCCUCACCCACUGUUCUGUACGACCACCGAACAAUAUUUUAGCGUGCAUUAACUACUAAACGAGUAGUGACAUAGAAUAAUCGAUAAUUGUAAACGUAGUCUCGAUAUAAUGUGUAGAUAUUCGUAACAGUAUUUUUAGAACAUAAUAAUAUUAUUAGGUUGUGCCAUCGUCCGUUUUUUAGUGUGUAUUAUUAUUAUUAUUAUUAUUAUUAUUAUUAUUAUUAUUAUUUAUUUCAAUUGUAUUUGCGUUAUUUCCGUUGUACUAUCAAACCCCGUGCGUACAAAAUUGUCAUAAUACGCGAUCACGUCCAAGUGCGACAAUUACAAUUAUUGCCCGCUCAGACCGCUCGCGGUUUAUUCGAUUGCAAUCGGAUAAAUCCAAAAUUGUCCGUUUGUGCGCGGACACUAAAGGCCGAAACGGAACGAGCGUUUCGUAAUGCACGCGCGCACAGAUGGGUUUCGUUCAACGACGUUUCCCGGUGCAUUUCCGCGCGUUAUUGUGUAACCGUCGUAUUGUGUACGGCCUGUCGUUCAUACGACGCGCCCGACGAGAUGUUGUAGUUUAUUGUUUUACACGUAUCCCCGCGUGCGACGACGAUAAUGAUAUCGUGACAUUGUGUUCGCGUACGUUGCGUG
rnacentral:lncRNA from 1 species